rnacentral:rRNA from 1 species
UAGGGAAUCUUCCACAAUGGACGAAAGUCUGAUGGAGCAACGACCGCGUGAGUGAAGAAGGUUUUCGGAUCGUAAAGCUCUGUUGUUGGUGAAGAAGGAUAGAGGCAGUAACUGGUCUUUAUUUGACGGUAAUCAACCAGAAAGUCACGGCUAACUACGUGCCAC